UUCAGUAGGGACGAAGCGCGAGUGACGGUACCUACAGAAGAAGGACCGGCCAACUACGUGCCAGCAGCCGCGGUAAUACGUAGGGUCCGAGCGUUGUCCGGGAUUACUGGGCGUAAAGAGCUCGUAGGUGGUUUGUCGCGUUGUUCGUGAAAACUCACAGCUCAACUGUGGGCGUGCGGGCGAUACGGGCAGACUGGAGUACUGCAGGGGAGACUGGAAUUCCUGGUGUAGCGGUGGAAUGCGCAGAUAUCAGGAGGAACACCGGUGGCGAAGGCGGGUCUCUGGGCAGUAACUGACGCUGAGGAGCGAAAGCGUGGGGAGCGAACAGGAUUAGAUACCCUGGUAGUCCACGCCGUAAACGGUGGGUACUAGGUGUGGGUUUCCUUCCUUGGGAUCCGUGCCGUAGCUAACGCAUUAAGUACCCCGCCUGGGGAGUACGGCCGCAAGGCUAAAACUCAAAGAAAUUGACGGGGGCCCGCACAAGCGGCGGAGCAUGUGGAUUAAUUCGAUGCAACGCGAAGAACCUUACCUGGGUUUGACAUGCACAGGACGCCGGCAGAGAUGUCGGUUCCCUUGUGGCCUGUGUGCAGGUGGUGCAUGGCUGUCGUCAGCUCGUGUCGUGAGAUGUUGGGUUAAGUCCCGCAACGAGCGCAACCCCUAUCUUAUGUUGCCAGCGCGUGAUGGCGGGGACUCGUAAGAGACUGCCGGGGUCAACUCGGAGGAAGGUGGGGAUGACGUCAAGUCAUCAUGCCCCUUAUGUCCAGGGCUUCACACAUGCUACAAUGGCCGGUACAGAGGGCUGCGAUGCCGUGAGGUGGAGCGAAUCCUUUAAAGCCGGUCUCAGUUCGGAUCGGGGUCUGCAACUCGACCCCGUGAAGUCGGAGUCGCUAGUAAUCGCAGAUCAGCAACGCUGCGGUGAAUACGUUCCCGGGCCUUGUACACACCGCCCGUCACGUCAUGAAAGUCGGUAACACCCGAAGCCGGUGGCCUAACCCCUCGUGGGA
rnacentral:rRNA from 1 species